rnacentral:tRNA from 1 species
AUUUGCAUAGUUUAAAAAACAUUACAUUUUCACUGUAAAAUUGAACUAUUAGUUCUGUAAAUA